rnacentral:rRNA from 1 species
UACGGAGACUGCAAGCGUUGUUCGGAUUCAUUGGGCGUAAAGGGUGCGUAGGCGGUGAGGUAAGUUGGAUGUGAAAUCUCAGGGCCUAACCCUGAAAGUGCAUCCAAAACUGCCUUGCUUGAGGACUGGAGGGGAGACUGGAAUUCUCGGUGUAGCGGUGAAAUGCGUAGAUAUCGAGAGGAACACCAGUGGCGAAGGCGGGUCUCUAGCCAGUUCCUGACGCUGAGGCACGAAAGCCAGGGUAGCAAACGGG